rnacentral:lncRNA from 1 species
CUAAUGCCUUCCAUUACUCCUUGCUGGGCUGGAGCCCUGCUUGGGGUCAUUUCAGGAGUAACAAGCACCAGCAGCCCAAGGAAGCCUCGGUGUACCCCAUGGUUGUGACCAAGGGAAGUUGCUGGCUUCACAUCCAAGGAAACUUCCCUUAGUGGACAUCAAGGUAGAGGGUCUAAUGAUUUUCACCUGAAAUCAGAUGUGCUCCACAAUGGCUGACGAUGCCGGCAUCACCCAUUGACAGAGGCAAGGUGAGGUCUAAUACCCUCUAAGUUAUGGUGAUACCCUGGCCCCCAGUUCCUGGGGGAUGAGUAAGCUCAUCCCAGCGGGACAGAACAAUUAGUACUUAGCAGAUCACCUGCUGCCUACUUGUAUG